CUGCUCCCUUUGGCGACACAUAUACUGAAAUUGGAAAAGCACAGGGAAGAUUAGCAUGGCCCCUGUGCAAGGAGGGACAUGACUUAGGUGACUUGGAUCUUCCUUCG
ensembl:snRNA U6 U6 spliceosomal RNA